rnacentral:tRNA from 1 species
GCAGUAUUGUUUCAGUGGUAGAAUUCUCACCUUCCAUGUAGGAGACCCGGGUUAGAUUCCUGGCCAAUGCA